GAAUAUUGGACAAUGGGGGAAACCCUGAUCCAGCGACGCCGCGUGUGUGAAGAAGGCCUGCGGGUUGUAAAGCACUUUCGGUGGGAACGAAAUGUGCCGGGCUAAUACCCCGGCAAGCUGACGUUACUCAAUGAAGAAGCACCGGCUAACUCUGUGCACGCUGCCGCGGUAAUACAGAGGGUGCGAGCGUUAAUCGGAAUUACUGGGCGUAAGGCGCACGUAGGUGGCGACGUAUGUCGGGUGUGAAAUCCCCGGGCUCAACCUGGGAACCGCAUUCGAAACUGCGUUGCUGGAGUACGGAAGAGGAGGGCGGAAUUCCCGGUGUAGCGGUGAAAUGCGUAGAUAUCGGGAGGAACAUCAGUGGCGAAGGCGGCCCUCUGGUCCAGUACUGACACUCAAGUGCGAAAGCGUGGGGAGCAAACAGG
rnacentral:rRNA from 1 species